GGUCACAAAGGCAGACGGCCCAAGGAGGGAGAAUGAAAUGCAGCCACCCUCCAGUAAUGUGGGUCUCAGAGAAAGGAGGGGCUGAUGUGAUUGGAGUGAACUAUGACAGCCACUUGACGCCAGGGCUUCUGCAGGGCUGUCCCGUCUCCUCCCUCCCAGCCUCCUGUGAGUGUGACCCUGAGUCCCCAUGGCACAAACGGCCAUCAUAGUCCCAAUCCAAAUGAGUACUACCCACCUCCCAUCCUGAACUAUACCAUGCUCAGCCCUGAACGACUUUAGCUAUUUCUGAAAUACAAAAUUCAAUUCAAAGCAUGAA